rnacentral:rRNA from 1 species
GACGUAGGGUCCAAGCGUUGUCCGGAUUUACUGGGCGUAAAGAGCGCGUAGGCGGUCUGUUAAGUGUGAAGUGAAAUCUCCAGGGCUCAACCCGGAAACUGCUUUACAUACUGACAGACUGGAGUGAUGCAGAGGUUUGUGGAAUUCCUGGUGUAACGGUGAAAUGUGUUGAUAUCAGGAGGAACACCCAUGGCGAAGGCAGCAAACUGGGCAUCAACUGACGCUGAGGCGCGAAAGCGUGGGUAGCAAACAGG